UUGUAACCAACUUGGUGUAUAGCAUUUACUAUCUUUGAACCACUACUUAAACUUGAUAAUUAAAAACAAAUUAUUUUGUUAACGAACUUUUGGAUUGUAUUAAUCAAACUGCGAGGUUUUCUCCGCCGUACUCUUUUUACCCUUGGCGGUUACUUUUGGCUUUACCUACAUUAAUGUACAUCAACUACAGUUCCGGGCUUUCACAAUAUUAAUAGUAACGACCAUUAUUAAACAAACUUUUCACAAGUUCAGUGUCUUAUUUUACGUUCCUUUCCUAGUGUACUUCAGGUCAUAGCGUUGCUUACGAACGUAAAACAGGGCCGCCGGACUCCACGACCGGUUCUGGGGCGAAGCCAUAAUAACUGCUGUCUUCAAAAUCAUCUCCCUUCUCGUACGAUCCCGUGACGCUAAUGAACGCUGGCAUGGAGUAAAACCUAAUCUAAAACACGUUCAUCCCUUCGGUGUUGACGUUUACUACUAACUACCGUAAGAAAAGCGCAGUAAGCUGAACAAAAACAAGGAAAUGUAUGGAUUAUAGUGAGGUGUCGAAGGCGUACUUUCGUCUGAUUGAGCUUCAGUUCUAUGCGGCCUCCAGAAAGUGUGACUCCAUCAAGCCCGAUUUCGAGGGUGGCUCCACCUGAGUGUGUGCCUGCUCGAUACGCUUAUGCGGGCAGAGACUGGAAUUCGGGAGGACCCGACGACGCUGAAGGAGAGGCUGUCUGGACCCAAUUACGACAAGUGAAGGAGUAGGAUGAAGUGUUCUCACCCAUUGUUCGGCAAACAACUUUCCGAGCGUCGAUGUCAGUCGCGGUGAAGCGAGGAAUGGUCGUAAGGCAGUACGACAUAAAAACAGCGUUUCUAAACAGUGACCUUGAGGAAGAGAUAUUCAUGCGACAGCCGCUAGGGUUCGUUGUCAAAAGAGCCGAAGGCAAGGUCUGUUGAUUGAAUCGGAUCCUGUCGGAGGCAUCGCAAGAGGCAAUUUGACUUCAACGACUUGUACGCGAUCUCGACAAGGACGUUCAAACUGUACGUACAGCUUAACGAUGACAAUCAGUCUUGUCUGAAAAUGGUGCUAUACGUUAUUUUUUAUACUCCGCGAAGUACCCGUUUUCGUACAUGGAAUUAUACCUGAAGUUUUAAUGAACACACGGUAUACAUUGAUGGAAUCUACCAGCAUUAUUGAACACUCGGUACUUUUGAGUAAAGCUGUGAGAUUUGGCACACAAACUUUUCAACCCAUUCUCUUAAUGUUGCGACGUGACGCGACCCUCGUAUAUCUGCCACAGGAACCUCAGUCGGAGGGGGGUUGGUUGCCGACCAUUUUUUUCCACUUGUCUAAGCCAUUGAGGAAAGAAUUUUUCAUCUGCGGUAGAAAUGGGAAAUUCCUUAGGUCAGUCACGAGCAUUCUGUUUGCUACUCCGAAUUAGGUUUUCCUCACAGGUCCGUAGUUUUCCUAAUUCGUAAGGUAAAUACCGCAGCACUAUAGAACAGUGGCAUUACCUACUAAAUAACAGGUUCUAAUGACAGUAUGGUUGGAAAACUCGUCAUCCAAAAGAACCAAAUAUAAAAAAUACAAAAUUAAAGUUGAUACAAAGAGCCAUUUUUAGCGCAUUUAUUUGUAAAAAGGAAGCUUUUAAUCUCAGUUUGGUCUUCCGGCUGGCGGGUAGCAAAUGAGGGCCAGGCUCGUAGCCAGGAUAUGGUAGCAGACAACUUUCUGGAUGUGGCUUAAGAAAAAAUUACAUUUUAAUAGGUUUGUAUGAGGAGGAUAAGUGUCUAUUUAACAGUAAGGGUAGAUAAAGUGAAACAAAUCAUUGAGCACUCCAAUGAUAUUUGACAUUCUUACUAAAAAUGAAACGCGAGCACGAAGUAAAAUGAAGUUCAGAACAGAACAAUAUUCUUUCCGUGGAAACAACGGGAGUACCUAAGCUUGCUAUCUUAGACGUAUAAAUUAGACCUACAAAAUUUUCAAAAGUGUUAUAAUGGUUUCUAUGGCUUCUGCCAUAAUAGUUAUUUUAUAUGUAUUAAGGGCAUAAAAGUGAUGUUUAUAUUCUCGAGGGCGACGAGUUAAAAAGCUCGAGGGUAGACAGACCAUUAAUUAAGUAGGUAUAAUAAAGGGGCUCGCUCACUUAGGCGAAGCGCCGUGAAGGGAAGCGUUGCGCUUUUUUCGCCUUUGAAGUUUACAUAUAAUUUAAUGGUAACCCGUUCACUUGGGCGGGCCGAAUCGAAGAAGCGAGUCGUUUGACGCGCGGAUGGUCUAAAGAGCAACUAGGACUCGUUACUCUCCACGCUUCGCAUAAAUGCGCGGGUGACAACCGAAGAGAAUAUUCAAAAUUUUACCGAUCCAUGUCCGAACUCAAAAAACUCACGCCUAAUAAGACGAGGAGUGUACGUGUACCGUGUACCUACAGAGGGGCUGUGUAACUAACAACUUUAGGGAUGGGGCUACAUAAUGUGUGGUCGGUGAUAUCUGGGCGCCAUCCCCAAGCGUGGUUUACUAAUCGAUUGUUUUCAAACGGGUGUCGCUGGAAAGAUCUUGUAAACGCGCAUAACUCCUGCGUGACGGAAUUUUGUUUUAUUCAUACGGGCCAAAUUAACCACCUUUUGAAAAUCGCGCGUCUUCGAGGGGUAGUCAAUUUUGGGGGCUGAAAAGUUAACUUCCGCCGCGAAUUGUUCCACGAAGUUUAAAGUUUCUUAAAGUUCCAAUCGAGGUCUCUCUUUCUCGUGUCACCAGCAGAAGGUCGAGCUAUGAGAAGAGCCCAACAAUUUAGUACCAUUUUGUGGAGGGACAAAAUGCAGGACAAAUCAAAACUAAAGGAGACCAACUGGUGAAUGGAAUAAGCACAGUACAUAGAAAGUCGCAUCGUGCUUAAAGAACAGAAGAAUCUUUCUUUGACGUCCCUAUGGAGUACUGGGUGACCCAUUGUAUAACAAAAAAUGUAAAUAUCUUUCCCGGAAUUGAUAUACCAAGGUGAAUUUGUAUAGCGUUGCUAGGGAUGCUCUAAAAAACUUAAAAGUGAACAAGAAAUUAGCUAUUCUCAGAAUGUGUUGAUUAGAUCGAAUUGAAUAUCGAGUUCUACAAAUAUUUUGAUCUAUGACCAGCACAAAAAGUCUAGUAAACAGUAAUGCAGUUGAAACACCAUAUAUUAAGAGAUACGAAUAUCUGGGGAAAAACUUGCAGUUGCAUGUGCAUCACUCGAAACACCUUUUGUUUUUCCAAAAAUAUUCUCGGUCUGCUAGAUAUUUUUAUUUAUAAAAGGUGUUCGAGUAGUUCUCCGUGUUCCAUAGCUAUUUAAAAAAUGUUGCGUUGCGGCGCGGCGUCUUUGUAUAAUUGGUUGAAAUACAAAUACCCAUACGAUCAUUCAGUGAUCUGCGGAGUGCAGGCCACUUGCAGCCGCAUGCCGAAAGAAUUGAAACUUCAAAUUUUCUGCACUGCACUGGGGCCAGCAAGCACCAAUAGAAACGCAACAUAUGUGACAUGGCGAUCUAAUCGUUGCUAUAACAUGAACCCGCCAAAGACGCUUUCUAUUCUUAUUACAUCCAUUUACUUUCAACAAAAGCAAAGCAGCUGUGGUUGCCAACACACACACACACUAAGCCUUAGUGACUAAGGCAACGACACUGCACUAUUAUCUAUCUCAAUGACGUUUUAGGCACAUAAAUCUGCAAAAAGUGCCAUGAAAAACUGUAAAUGUAGUACAAAUGUAUAUAUUUUUUGUAUAGGUACAAAACUUAUCAAUUACAUACCUAUCUACGAGUACAGUUAUAAUGCUAGUAUGAUAGUAACUUAAAGAAAAGUUUAUAAAAUAAAUAUCUCUAUUUAGUUGUAUAAGAUGUAAAUGAUUUGAUUUAAUAUAGGAAUGUUAAUGUAAAUGAAUAUGACAUGAUUAGGUUUAAAAGAUAGCUAGGUACGAAUUGACAAUUAAUAAAUAGCUCUAAAAUUGACAUUAAAAUAAUUAACAGUUAAUAUACAAUUUAAAUAAUAAUAAUGUAAAGCGAUCUUAAACAUUGAUAAAAUUAAAACUAUCAAUUAUGACAAAUGAACCCAGAGCAACAAUUAUGUCAGAUCCAAUAAGCCUUAGAUUAUUUAUACAAGGACCUCCCACGGUAGAUGAACUACAAUUAAGCUUAACAAAA